GAUAUCUGAUCAGCAUGGAUGGGUUGGACCGAAGGGUCUGUUUCCAUGCUGUACAUCUAUGACUCUAGAUAUUGAGUACAAAUUUAUAUUGAAGGGAACAUUUCAGCUCAGGAAUUGAGAGUGACAGAAUUAAUCUUUUGUCAUGUAUAUGGACACAGCAAUCAAAUAAUAUGAAUUCCAAAUGCACAUUCUCUGUCAAAGCCUGACAUAGAAUGAUUACUCCCAACACACAGAAUCUCUCUCUCUCCCUCUCUCUCUCACUUACACCAUCCUGACACAUAUUACAAAGUCUAAGCACCUUGCAGUUCCAUUACCAUUGCAAGUAACAGAAAAUGUUACAUUCAAAAUAAUUUCUACCCACAAAUCCUUUGUCAGAGAGUGAGAGGCUGACAGCACAGAAUCAGGCCCUUUGAAACUUUAGAGUCUGCACCGAUCAGAAACAACCAGCUAACAAUUUUCAUCCUGAUCAGCCAGCAUCUAUUUGCAUAAAUGUAUCACUGUAGCAUAGAAGCUGCCAUCCCCAUGUUAUCACAUCAUUAUUCUCCAUUUCUUCAUAUUGUAAUAGAAGACUUUGUUUUGUCUGUUUCAGUCGAACCAGAAACCUUUUUUAAGAUAAUUAUGUACUUCUUUCAAAGUUAGUUGCAAUUAUCGACAACAAGCUCUGCAUUCCUCUUCCCCCUCCCUCGGAUGUAUCACAAAAAAGCGUGAAAUCUGGCUGCAAUUUUCACAAUGCAUCAAUGGAAUCUAAUAACCACCCUUCAAAGCAGUGGAGAAAGGGGGGAAAAAAAGCCAAAAUCGGAUGUGGCCAUCUCUGCCAAGGUGGGAAGUGGAUACAAUUCCAAAAUGUCCUUGAACCAAUUGACUUGCUCAGCCAAAAGGAGAUGCUGCCGACCUGCUGAGUUUCUGAAGCAAUUUUUAGUUUUCAUGUCAAGACUUCAGCUGGAUUCCAGUGAAGAACGUGCACAGAUCAAAGAUGAAGAAUGAAUUACCUGACUCUGUGAGGUUGAUGGAAUUCCUGGUCACAUUAAAUAUCGUUCCAACCCCUGUUGAUCACGACGCACUGGUAUCUGCCUUGGUGCUGGGACUGGAAGGACCCAAUGGCCAGCUCUCUCCUGUCCAAGCUAAAGUUGUAAUUCCUGCUGGCAUUGUUUAAGGCUUACCUUUGAAAGUACCACUGACAGCACGGUCCUGUACCUCGACACAAUACACACUCUCGAACAAGACGAUUCCCAAUUGGAACCUCCAUUUUAUUGACACUGGGGGUGAAGAACACCCCAGCAACAGGAACUGGAACAAAACAAAACAAAGAGGAAAUAAAAGAUUGGAUGUUGAAAUUGUCUUUCUUUUCCACAGAUGUUAACUUCUAUAACAGGAUAAUAACUGACAGAAAGGAGAAAUAAAACAACGGA